UUCACAGGAUCAUUUCUGUAGUCAGUCUUCACUUACUUUCGCACAAAUAGAAAGCCAAACACACCCGCGUUGAUGAGUUAAAUCGUCCUAUUCGGCAGCGUGAGGUUUUGCCCAGCGCCCUUUCUGGCGCGGCACUUCGGUGUCCGUGUCGUUCGGGGCGCAGAGCUUCGAUGAUCGCUCGGUAAAACGGAUAGAACGAAUUCUGAGUGGUGUACCCUUUUUAACAAAUACAUUUGACAAAAUUAUAACAAGUUCUAGAAAUAUAACAUCGGCCUUGUCGUCGGUUUGUUUCCUGCUUGCUUCUUCCCCUGGCAGUGUUAUUGUUGUUCUACUUUGGGAAGCAAUUAAAACACCACUUGACAGCGGCAAGGGCGCCCUUCUGCCGCGCGCUGUUUGUUGCCAGUUUGAAGUGUUCUUGUUGCACGGUGACAGUCCGUUAAUGGGUGUGGGGCCCAUAUUUUUCGCCCAUCUAUCUGCAUUAUAAAACAUUUUAGUGCAAAGCAGAUUUUGGUUUUUUUGUGGCACCUCUCUCGAGGACGCUUCCGUGCUCAAGACGACGAGAAAAAAACUGAAAAUUUGUAAUAAAAUGUUUGCUAAUAGGCGGGGGAAGUGGAGUGGAGGAGACCUUCCACUAAUUACUUAACGCUGCACAUGAAUGGCCCUUGAGCGAGGGCGUGAUUUUUGGCUUAAUUCAAAGUUGGAACCAUCUCAAUUAGUAGCUGAUGACUACUUGGAAAUGCUUAGAGAGAGUAGAGUAAUGUCCUGAGAGAACUUUAGCAUGUUCGUGGUUGUGAAUGUGGUGCAUGAAUAUUUGAGAAACUUUAAUGCUGCACGCAACAACAAUUAAGUGGUGCCUCGUUGUGUCCCACUUGGGCUGACUCGUCGGUUCCAUUCGCAUUCCUGCGACUUUCUGUAGUCAAACACGACACAACACGUAGUGGGAAUUUAUUUAAGCAAUGCAAAGCAAAUACUAGAGUGCUACGAGCUAGGGUACAGUGCGUUUCAGAGCUAUGAAGCGGCAGAAAAAUUCGUCAAAGUAGCAUCAGGAAAAAAAAACUACACCUUUGGUUGUAUAAGUUUUCUCUUUCACCUUUUGCCACGCACUGUAUGUACGAGUAUUUCCUUCCUCUCAGUUGUUAGUUUCUAGAAUUCUCGUAUUUUUUGAGUGCUUACAUAAAAAUACAUUUGAAAUGCGGUUAAGUGAGGUCGCUAAAGGAUGGGAAGCACGAGCAGAUAGCAGUUUCACCUAGGGGCCAAAAACUGACAACAUCAUCAUCAUCAUCAGCUGUGGGCCAAUCGAUGAUGAUGAUGCUUCUACUGCUGCUGAUGCCAAUGCGGCUGAUGCUGUAAUUGAUGUCUUUGCGACAUGUUCUCCC
rnacentral:lncRNA from 1 species